rnacentral:rRNA from 1 species
AGCAGCCGCGGUAAUUCCAGCUCCAAUAGCGUAUAUUAAAGUUGUUGCAGUUAAAAAGCUCGUAGUUGAAUUUCGGGGUCAGUAGGUUGGUCAUGCCACUGGUAUGUACUGGUCUCACUGAUUCCUCCUUCCUGAUGAACUGUAAUGCCAUUAAUUUGGUGUUGCAGGGAAUCUGGACUGUUACUUUGAAAAAUUAGAGUGUUUAAAGCAGGCUAACGCCUGAAUACAUUAGCAUGGAAUAAUGAAAUAGGACGUUCGAUCCUAUUUUGUUGGUUUCUAGGAUUGACGUAAUGAUUAAUAGGGAUAGUUGGGGGCAUUAGUAUUCAAUUGUCAGAGGUGAAAUUCUUGGAUUUAUUGAAGACUAACUACUGCGAAAGCAUUUGCCAAGGAUGUUUUCAUUAAUCAAGAACGAAAGUUAGGGGAUCGAAGACGAUCAGAUACCGUCGUAGUCUUAACCAUAAACUAUGCCGACUAGGGAUCGGAUGAUGUUAAUUUUUAAUGACUC